UGAUAUUGAUGUAGAUGCAUGACUUAUUUUGGAACUUGGAAGCAACAAGUCUAGGAAAUUAUGACAAAUAUCUUUUGUUGCAGCUCCCUUUAAUUUCACAGCAUAAUUCUAAACUUUAGUAUAAUUUGUAUGCAGGUAUGACUGGGAUAGUUGAUUAUACCAAUUAUGAUGAUAUGAAAUAUGCUAUCAGGAAACUUGAUGACUCAGAAUUCCGCAAUGCCUUUUCUCGUGCUUUCAUACGGGUGAGGGAAUAUGAUUGAGGUUAUUCUAGAAGUCCUAGUCGUGAUUCAAGGAGGAGCUAUUCUAGAAGCCUCAGCCGCAGUCCAUAUGUCUCACGAAGCCGCAGCCAUAGCCGCAGCAGAAGUCAUAGCUAUAGUGACAGGAGCAGAAGUUGGUCUCCGAAACCAAAACACUCUCGACGUUCAAUAUCUCUUUCAAGGUCAGUUUCUACCAAGUCUGAUACAUAUGCAGUUUUGUGCUCUGUGCUUUGAAUGUUGAAAUUUUAAAGUUUGGUUAAUGUCAUUAGUGAAUGAGUAUCCCUGCGUUAUUGUAACUAGGGUGUUUCUCUUGGAGUCUAUGUUUCUAUCAUCUUUCCUAAUAGGUAGUAUCAUGUGGCUCAUUUAAUGUAGAAAUGUUUUACAUCUAUGGUGGAUCAAAAUUAAAUGCUUGAUCAUUUUGCGUAAUAAUAAUAAGAUUUAUUUGGGUGAAUACUGUGAUCUUUCUUACUACUUUUACUCAAUUUAUACUCUUUUGUCUAUGAGUUUUGGUUGAGAAAUAAGAGCUUGAUUUGUUGUUUUAUUAUUCUAUUUGUUAUUGUUGACUCAUGGUUGGGUACAUCUUUGCUCAUGUAAACAAAUUGACUUGUGUCAACUUUUGUCC